GUGGAGAAUAAUAAUUGCCCAUUUAUUUUGAAAAAAGACCGUAAAUACGGAACAGGACGAUCCGUAUAAGGUUACAUCGGCUCGUACAAGGUUUCAUCGGAUCGUACAAGGUUCCAUCGGAUCGUACAAGGUUAUCCAACGGAUCUUAUAAGGUUCAACAAGUCAAAAGUUCAAGUGUAAAGUGAUUGAACCAAAAUGUGUCUCACAUGCGACUGUGGUGACUGCGGUGCGUGCGGCCAGAUCAUAAGAUGCCUGCUAUGCGUCACACUAUGCGCGUUUGUGCUACGAUUGUGUGGAGUAGACGUCGGCGACGGUUGUUGUUGUGGCGAUGACGGUGGUGCUAUCAAUGUCGUUAAUUAGGUUUAGAGAUUUUUAAUUAUUUGUACAAAAUAUACCGCUUUGAAAGUG